AUGCCGGAUGUUCCACAUGAUCGCAUGUGAUUGUGGGAAAGAUUCUAUCGGCGUGGGAUGGGGUCGCGUCCUAUCAGCUUGUUGGUGAGGUAACGGCUCACCAAGGCUUCGACGGGUAGCCGGCCUGAGAGGGCGACCGGCCACAUUGGGACUGAGAUACGGCCCAGACUCCUACGGGAGGCAGCAGUGGGGAAUAUUGCACAAUGGGCGCAAGCCUGAUGCAGCGACGCCGCGUGAGGGAUGGAGGCCUUCGGGUUGUAAACCUCUUUUGUUUGGGAGCAAGCCUUCGGGUGAGUGUACCUUUCGAAUAAGCGCCGGCUAACUACGUGCCAGCAGCCGCGGUAAUACGUAGGGCGCAAGCGUUAUCCGGAUUUAUUGGGCGUAAAGGGCUCGUAGGCGGCUCGUCGCGUCCGGUGUGAAAGUCCAUCGCUUAACGGUGGAUCUGCGCCGGGUACGGGCGGGCUGGAGUGCGGUAGGGGAGACUGGAAUUCCCGGUGUAACGGUGGAAUGUGUAGAUAUCGGAA
rnacentral:rRNA from 1 species